rfam:Brachypodium distachyon strain Bd21 chromosome 4, whole genome shotgun sequence.
UGAAUACUCCCUCCGUCCCAUAUUAAUUGUCUUAAAUUUGCCAAAAUAUGGAUGUAUCUAUACACAAAAGUGUCUAGAUACAUGUAAUAUUUCGUCACUUAAUAUGGGACAGAGGGAGUAACUA